ACUUAAAUAGUUUAAUAAAAAAUAUUGAUUUGUGAUAUCAAAGUUAUAAUAAAGUUAUUUUAGGUA
rnacentral:tRNA from 1 species